AGUGAACGCUGGCGGUAGACCUAACACAUGCAAGUCGAACGGCAGCACAGUAAGAGCUUGCUCUUACGGGUGGCGAGUGGCGGACGGGUGAGGAAUACAUCGGAAUCUACUUUUUCGUGGGGGAUAACGUAGGGAAACUUACGCUAAUACCGCAUACGACCUACGGGUGAAAGCAGGGGAUCUUCGGACCUUGCGCGAUUGGAUGAGCCGAUGUCGGAUUAGCUAGUUGGCGGGGUAAAGGCCCACCAAGGCGACGAUCCGUAGCUGGUCUGAGAGGAUGAUCAGCCACACUGGAACUGAGACACGGUCCAGACUCCUACGGGAGGCAGCAGUGGGGAAUAUUGGACAAUGGGCGCAAGCCUGAUCCAGCCAUACCGCGUGGGUGAAGAAGGCCUUCGGGUUGUAAAGCCCUUUUGUUGGGAAAGAAAAGCAGCAGGUUAAUACCCCGCUGUUCUGACGGUACCCAAAGAAUAAGCACCGGCUAACUUCGUG
rnacentral:rRNA from 1 species